CCUACGGGUGGCAGCAGUGGGGAAUAUUGCACAAUGGGGGAAACCCUGAUGCAGCGACGCCGCGUGAGUGAAGAAGUAUUUCGGUAUGUAAAGCUCUAUCAGCAGGGAAGAAAUAGCGACCUUUGGGUCGCCAGACGGUACCUGAUUAAGAAGCCACGGCUAACUACGGGCCAGCAGCCGCGGUAAUACGUAGGGGGCAAGCGUUAUCCGGAUUUAAUGGGUGUAAAGGGGGCGUAGACGGCAGCGCAAGUCUGAAGUGAAAUGCCGGGGCUUAACCCCGGAAUAGCUUUGGAAACUGGGCAGCUAGAGUGCAGGAGAGGUAAGUGGAAUUCCUAGUGUAGCGGUGAAAUGCGUAGAUAUUAGGAGGAACACCAGUGGCGAAGGCGGCUUACUGGACUGUAACUGACGUUGAGGCUCGAAAGCGUGGGGAGCAAACAGGAUUAGAUACCCGAGUAGUC
rnacentral:rRNA from 1 species